rnacentral:tRNA from 1 species
UGGGGCGUAGCCAAGUGGUUAAGGCACGGGACUUUGACUCCCGCAUCCCAGGUUCGAAUCCUGGCGCCCCAGCCA